AGGAACUUAGGAUAGCCCAAGACCGAGAGCCUUCAAAGCUCUAAGCAGAGGUGAAAACCCUCUAGUCCCUG
rnacentral:tRNA from 1 species